GAUGAACGCUGGCGGCGUGCCUAAUACAUGCAAGUCGAGCGAACAGAUAAGGAGCUUGCUCCUUUGACGUUAGCGGCGGACGGGUGAGUAACACGUGGGUAACCUGCCUAUAAGACUGGAAUAACUCCGGGAAACCGGGGCUAAUGCCGGAUAACAUUUAGAACCGCAUGGUUCUAAAGUGAAAGAUGGUUUUGCUAUCACUUAUAGAUGGACCCGCGCCGUAUUAGCUAGUUGGUAAGGUAACGGCUUACCAAGGCAACGAUACGUAGCCGACCUGAGAGGGUGAUCGGCCACACUGGAACUGAGACACGGUCCAGACUCCUACGGGAGGCAGCAGUAGGGAAUCUUCCGCAAUGGGCGAAAGCCUGACGGAGCAACGCCGCGUGAGUGAUGAAGGUCUUCGGAUCGUAAAACUCUGUUAUUAGGGAAGAACAAAUGUGUAAGUAACUGUGCACGUCUUGACGGUACCCAAUCAGAAAGCCACGGCUAACUACGUG
rnacentral:rRNA from 1 species